rnacentral:rRNA from 1 species
ACGUAGGACGCAAACGUUAUCCGGAGUUACUGGGCGUAAAGCGCGCGCAGGCGGUUGGGUAAGUUACCUGUGAAAGUUCCCGGCUAAACCGGGAGAAGCCAGGUGAUACUGCCUAACUAGAGAGAGACAGAGGGAAGUAGAAUUCCGGGUGUAGUGGUGAAAUGCGUAGAUAUCCGGAGGAAUACCAGUGGCGAAGGCGGCUUCCUGGGUCUCUACUGACGCUGAGGCGCGAAAGCGUGGGUAGCGAACGGG